AAAGGCUGGAACAACAAAUGAAUACAGGAAUGAUGCUAAUAUAAAAAUACAAACCCUAAAUUUUCUUUAUAUAUUUUGAGGGUAAGCUAGUUUCAGAUUUUUCUCUAAGGUUUUGUAGGAAGAGAAAAAUUGGUCACACUAACGCCAUUUUAAAAUAUGCCCCCAUCUGUAAGAGGCAGAGCCACCUGAGGUGAAAAGGUAAACGGCUUGUGUAAGAUUUGGCUGAAAGUCCAGAAAUUAACUCAAGUCCUGGAACAUGUCCUGGGACACUCCCCCGGAACGAUUGUUCAAGUCCUGGAGUACGUUUCGGAACGCUGCUCCCGGAACACCGCUCCUGGAGCGAUUGUUUCAAUGUUGCUUGCUCGGAAUGGCCCUCCUGAGCAAACAACAGACGGUGCUCAAAGUAACAACUGGACUUAAUAAAAGGAGCUUACACGAAGGAGGAGCUGAAGGCUGCUGUGGUCGUGUGCUGGGGGCUGCCCCAGCUCCAGCUGCAGGACCCCGGCCGUCUGCCUUCCGACUCCGGUGAUGAUUCUUCCUGCGGUCUGAUCAAGAUUCUAUGCAGUUAACUUUGUAUCCAAGGAUCUAUAGCCAAGAAAUUUGGAGCUCAGUUUCAAACAUGAACCAGAGUUAAGCGGGCCCUCCAUUUCCUGGCCACACAUUGUCAAUGUGGAAGAUCUCUGGCCAUGAGUUAAAGGUCACCCACGAUACCAAAUUGCAAAUUGUGUUGAGAAUGGAGAGCAUUUGCAAAGCUGGAAUGAAUACACAAAACAUGUUUAUUUACAUCACUCAGAAUAUUGCUAUGAGCAUUGCAAGCAUUCUGAUAGUAGAUGAGAAAACUAAUGGACUGAUGGACUGAUGGAUGGAUGGAUGGAUGGAUGGAUGGACGGAUGGAUGAUGAAUCUUCUAUCUGAGCAGUAAAGUUGAUAAAAGUGAGCAGGAAUCAGAGGAAUGAAGAAUGAAGUUGUCCUCAGGAAAUAAAAGGGGAACCAAGGCUUGCCAGCAAGAAAAUAAGAGGAGACCUGGCAGUGAAUGAAUGAUACAUUUGAUUAAGAAUAAAAAUUUCAGUGUUACUGGGGGAUUUUCUUCACUCAUUUAAGUGAAAUAAAUAACUAGGAGUUAGAAUGUGACCAGACAAUAGAUGGUCUUAAAUAUACCAAUAAGAUUAGGCCUUGUGUUCAAAAUAUAUUUAGCAUAGACAGUAUUUUGAGGCAUCAUAAUUAUUUAAUAGUAAUAACAAAGUUUAUGGAGCAUUUACUGUAUGUCAGGCCCUCUUCUAACUACUUUAGAUGUUAAUCCAGUUUAACCUCCCCAGCAUCCAAGUAGCAACAUACCACAGGCCAGCCAGUGAUGUCUGUCUGCCCUUUUACGUAGGCAAUAAGAAGUUGCAUUUUUCUGUCAAAAAUUUAAAAACAAUUGUAAAACUAUUGUUAUCCCCAUGUAACCAAUAUUGGUAACUCUUUAAAAUGUCAAUGAUAAAAUAGUAGUUCCUGAAACAAAUAAUUUGUUGGCUUAAAUCCUAUAAUUGCUGAUACUGUGAGUUUUGAGUGGCUUUUAUUCUGUCAUUGUGUAUGGUCAGUUGAAGUUUUUAUUAGUUUAAAAUUUCAAACAAUGAAAUAGUGAGAAAUGCAUGAUGGGCUAUUGUGCCUGGUACAGAAAAUAGUUUACUGCAUUUUAAUAAUAUCCUUAGAAUUAAAAUGCCUUAUUCUAUUUAAUUGUUACUUAAUUCUUCAUUUUUGUGACCGACUAAUACAUAGGUAUAUAUACUCUCCCUUUUAUCAAAAAAUCAAUGUAAUUUAAAAAUAUUAAUUUAUUACUCUAUUAUAAUUAUGUUUAAUUUGCUGGCAUAAUUAUAUAUAUACAAAAUUCAAUAAAAUAAAAUGAUCACUGUG
rnacentral:lncRNA from 1 species